GUAGGGAAUAUUGGGCAAUGGGCGAAAGUCUGACCCAGCCAUGCCGCGUGAAGGAUGAAUGCCCUAUGGGUAGUAAACUUCUUUUAUUAGGGAAGAAAAUUUCCGACGUGUCGGAAACUGACGGUACCUAACGAAUAAGCACCGGCUAACUCCGUGCCAGCAGCCGCGGUAAUACGGAGGGUGCAAGCGUUAUCCGGAUUCACUGGGUUUAAAGGGUGCGUAGGCGGGCUAGUAAGUCUGCGGUGAAAUCCUCGAGCUUAACUCGAGAACUGCCGCUGAUACUGCUAGCCUUGAGUAUAGUUGAGGUGGGCGGAAUGUGUCAUGUAGCGGUGAAAUGCGUAGAUAUGACACAGAACACCAAUUGCGAAGGCAGCUCACUAAACUAUUUCUGACGCUGAGGCACGAAAGCGUGGGUAGCGAACAGG
rnacentral:rRNA from 1 species